GACGACGCUGGCGGCGUGCCUAACACAUGCAAGUCCGAGCGGGGUUGAAGCGAGGGGUAACUCGGACUUCUACCUAGCGGCGGACGGGUGAGUAACGCGUGGGCAACCUGCCUCAAGGUUUGGGAUAACAGCUCGAAAGGGCUGCUAAUACCGGAUAUGCCUGUGGCCUCGCAUGGGGCUAUGAGCAAAGGGGAAACCCGCCUUGAGAUGGGCCCGCGUCCCAUCAGCUAGUUGGUGAGGUGAAGGCUCACCAAGGCGACGACGGGUAGCCGGCCUGAGAGGGUGACCGGCCACACUGGGACUGAGACACGGCCCAGACUCCUACGGGGGGCAGCAGUGGGGGAUCUUGCACAAUGGGCGAAAGCCUGAUGCAGCGACGCCGCGUGAGCGAAGAAGGCCUUCGGGUUGUAAAGCUCUGUCUGGAGGGACGAAACAAAUGACGGUACCUACCGGAGGAAGCCACGGCUAACUACGUG
rnacentral:rRNA from 1 species